rnacentral:lncRNA from 1 species
AAUCACCCUCCACGGCAGCCCCCACCCCAGCCCCCUCACUUCUCUCUGCAGGUUACACCACCCCCAACCUGGACCCCAUCCAAUAGGCUCGUGGUCCCUGAUGGUCCUGGACCACUGAUUUGAGGCCUUUCUGCUUCCUUUGAUUCAGUCUUUGGCAGAGACCCAGGAGCAGGAGUCCUUGAUGGCACCUGGCCCUUUCUAGUCACCGACAAGGGAAACCUGAGAAACCAUUCUCAGAAAUGGAACUAAAUUACAGAGUCCUAGUUUUGUCCACUCCUCCUGACAAAAAAAGAAACUCAAAGGACACAGCAUUUGUCUCCUCCAGAGGAUACAGCACCAAGGCGCCAUCUUGGAAGUAGACUGGAGCUCUUAGCAGACCAGAACCUGUGGGUGUGUUGAUCUUGUACUUCCUGACCUCCAGAACUAUGCCAGACUCAUCAACAAAGGCCCACUUGUUCCUUGGGAUUUGUGUCUUGAUGCAUUCUCAAAGAGAGGUUUCCAGGGCACCAGUCACCUGCAGCUCACCUGAAGAUGGCACAUGGCAUGUCGCUGUGCCCCCCUCCCCAUCCAUGUGCUCUACCUGGCAACUUGUUUCUCCCCACCUGAAAGUUGACCUGAGAUGAAACUUGCUAAGGCCUCCUAAGACGAUGUUGCUGGAUGUCCCCUGCUGACCCCACAGACUGGCUCCUCUGGUGUCCGCUGACUUGGCCUGGUGAGAAGGGCAGGGCCAGGCCCUUCCCUGUCUCGACCUGCAUUCCCACCCAACACAGCAAGCUAUUUUGAAAAAACUUCUCUAUCAGUUCUUGUGAGUUAUUUGUCUAAUAAACAACAUUGUGAAAAUGAAGCAUUCAUGUAUUUGUAUAUUGACAAGAGAUAACCAAUUCCCUCAACAAUUUUACAAUUUCAAAUUAGGAUAACAUCCUUUUUUGGAGCUCUUCAAACAUCUUAGGGAACACACGCACAUAUUUAAGUACCCU